rnacentral:tRNA from 1 species
GGUAUUGUGACUCAGUGGUAGAGUACUUGCCUGGCACGUGUGAGGCACUGAGUUCAAUCCUCAGCACCA